rnacentral:rRNA from 1 species
AACGAACGCUGGCGGCGUGCCUAAUACAUGCAAGUCGAGCGCAGGAAACUGACGGAACUCUUCGGAGGGAAGGCAGUGGAAUGAGCGGCGGACGGGUGAGUAACACGUAAGGAACCUGCCUUAAGGAUUGGGAUAACUCCGAGAAAUCGGAGCUAAUACCGGAUAGUUCAACGGACCGCAUGGUCCGCUGAUGAAAGGCGCUCCGGCGUCACCUUGAGAUGGCCUUGCGGUGCAUUAGCUAGUUGGUGGGGUAACGGCCCACCAAGGCGACGAUGCAUAGCCGACCUGGGAGGGUGAUCGGCCACACUGGGACUGAGACACGGCCCAGACUCCUACGGGAGGCAGCAGUAGGGAAUCUUCCACAAUGGACGAAAGUCUGAUGGAGCAACGCCGCGUGAGUGAUGAAGGUUUUCGGAUCGUAAAACUCUGUUGUAAGGGAAGAACACGUACGAGAGGAAAUGCUCGUACCUUGACGGUACCUUACGAGAAAGCCACGGCUAACUACGUGCCAGCAGCCGCGGUAA